GGUGAGUAACGCGUGAGCAAUCUACCUUAGUUACAGGGAUAGCCCGAGGAAACUCGGAUUAAUACCUGAUAUUCUUUACAUUUCGCAUGAAAUCAAAAGGAAAGGUCAGCCGAACUAAGAUGAGCUCGCGUUCUAUCAGCUAGUUGGUGAGGUAAAAGCUCACCAAGGCAACGACGGAUAGCUGGUCUGAGAGGACGAUCAGACACACUGGAACUGAGACACGGUCCAGACUCCUACGGGAGGCAGCAGUAGGGAAUUUUCCGCAAUGGGCGAAAGCCUGACGGAGCAAUCUCGCGUGAGGGAUGACGGCCUAUGGGUUGUAAGCCUCUUUUUUCAGGGAGGAAUAAAUGACGUGUACCUGAAGAAUAAGCAUCGGCUAACUCCGUGCCAGCAGCCGCGGUAAGACGGAGGAUGCAAGUGUUAUCCGGAAUCACUGGGCGUAAAGCGUCUGUAGGUUGUUUAAUAAGUCAACUGUUAAAUCUCAAAGCUCAACUUUGAAAUCGCAGUCGAAACUAUUAGACUAGAGUAUAGUAGGGGUAAAGGGAAUUUCCAGUGGAGCGGUGAAAUGCGUAGAGAUUGGAAAGAACACCGAUGGCGAAGGCACUUUACUGGGCUAUUACUAACACUCAGAGACGAAAGCUAGGGUAGCAAAUGGGAUUAGAUACCCCAGUAGUCCUAGCUGUAAACAAUGGAUACUAGAUGUUGAACAGAU
rnacentral:rRNA from 1 species